rnacentral:rRNA from 1 species
AUCAGCAGUUAUAUCACCCUGCAAUUCACAAUUAGAAACCAGCUGAAGCAGGUGUGAGCCUGGCCAGUACCUGAAUGGGAGACCUCCUGGGAAAACUAAGGUUGCUGCUGGAU